rnacentral:rRNA from 1 species
UACGGGAGGCAGCAGUGGGGAAUAUUGCACAAUGGGCGCAAGCCUGAUGCAGCCAUGCCGCGUGUAUGAAGAAGGCCUUCGGGUUGUAAAGUACUUUCAGUCGUGAGGAAGGUGUUAAGGUUAAUAACCUUAGCAAUUGACGUUAGCGACAGAAGAAGCACCGGCUAACUCCGUGCCAGCAGCCGCGGUAAUACGGAGGGUGCGAGCGUUAAUCGGAAUUACUGGGCGUAAAGGGCACGCAGGCGGUUAAUUAAGUUGGAUGUGAAAUCCCCGGGCUUAACCUGGGAAUGGCAUUCAAGACUGGUUAGCUAGAGUCUUGUAGAGGGGGUAGAAUUCCAUGUGUAGCGGUGAAAUGUGUAGAGAUGUGGAGGAAUACCGGUGGCGAAGGCGGCCCCUGGGACAAAGACUGACGCUCAUGUGCGAAAGCGUGGGGAGCAAACAGGAUUAGAUACC